GAAAUAGGAAAGGCAUAUUCCAGGAUUACUUUUUUCAUUUGCCUAGAAAAGCACUUUAAAAGAGAGUACGAUACCUCAGAUUCUGAUUCUGAAAUUGUCAUCACAACAAGGAGCAGAGCUGAAUUCAAUCGAGCUGACACUUUGGUUUUUGAACCACAAAAUCGAAGUACUCCCAAAUACAAACUGGAAGAUGAAAGGUAGGUGUUGCACACUUGGACACAAAGGAACUUUCAGGCUUGCAUGGGUUGAAAUUAUUUAUUUACUUCUUAACUGGAAAUGAUAAUAAUAAUUCAUAUUUUACUGGGCUACAGUGCUUUCACUACCAGGUGCAUUAUCAAAAAAAAUUUUUUUUCAUUUAAUUCACAAAACUGCUAAAACUACUAGGAGAUAUUUCACUACUUAUUCACAGACACAUUAUACAUACAUUUAUAUUUCUGCACAUAAGCUCAAUGUUGCUACAUGCUAUCAGCCGUUUCUGUAACUGACUGAGGUGCCCCCUCGCUGCAUACCUAGAGUACCCACAGCUGCCUGUGUGAGCUUUACUUUUAACAUCACAGAAUAAACCUACUGAAAUACAGUUGCUCUUGCAGGUGAAUAAACACAAAUGACACAAAUUAACCAAACCAUUAAAAAAAACACAUGAGAAUGAAGUGGGGGGU